rnacentral:rRNA from 1 species
GUGGGGAAUAUUGGACAAUGGGCGAAAGCCUGAUCCAGCAAUGCCGCGUGAGUGAUGAAGGCCCUAGGGUUGUAAAGCUCUUUUACCCGGGAUGAUAAUGACAGUACCGGGAGAAUAAGCUCCGGCUAACUCCGUGCCAGCAGCCGCGGUAAUACGGAGGGAGCUAGCGUUGUUCGGAAUUACUGGGCGUAAAGCGCGCGUAGGCGGUUUUCCAAGUCAGGGGUGAAAGCCCGGGGCUCAACCCCGGAAUAGCCCUUGAAACUGGAAGACUAGAAUCUUGGAGAGGUCAGUGGAAUUCCGAGUGUAGAGGUGAAAUUCGUAGAUAUUCGGAAGAACACCAGUGGCGAAGGCGACUGACUGGACAAGUAUUGACGCUGAGGUGCGAAAGCGUGGGGAGCAAACAGGAUUAGAAACCCUAGUAGUCC